rnacentral:rRNA from 2 species
GCGGCGGACGGGUGACUAACACGUGGGCAACCUGCCUGUAAGACUGGGAUAACUUCGGGAAACCGAAGCUAAUACCGGAUAGGAUCUCGUCCUUCAUCGGAGAUGAUUGAAAGAUGGUAUCGGCUAUCACUUACAGAUGGGCCCGCGGUGCAAUAGCUAGUUGGUGAGGUAACGGCUCACCAAGGCAACGAUGCAUAGCCGACCUGAGAGGGUGAUCGGCCACACUGGGACUGAGACACGGCCCUUACACCUACGGGAGGCAGCAGUAGGGAAUCUUCCGCAAUGGACGAAAGUCUGACGGAGCAACGCCGCGUGAGUGAUGAAGGCUUGCGGGUCGUAAAACUCUGUUGUUAGGGAAUAACAAGUACGAGAGUAACUGCUCGUGCCUCGACGGUACCUAACCAGAAAGCCACGGCUAACUACGUGCCAGAAGCCGCGGUAAUACGUAGGUGGGGAAGCGUUAUCCGGAAAUAUUCGCCUAUAGCGCGGGCAGGCGGUUUCAUAAGUCUGAUGUGAAAGCCCACGGCUCAACGGUGGAGAGUCAUUGGAAACUGUGGAACUUGAGUGCAGCCAGAGAAUGCCGAAUUCCACGUGUAGCGGUGAAAUGCGUAGAGAUGUGGCGGAACUCGAGUGGCGCAGGCGGCUAAUUGGUCUGUAACUGACGCUGAGGCGCGAUAGCGUGGGGAGCAAACAGGAUUAGAUACCCUGGUAGUCCACGCCGUAAACGAUGAGUGCUAAGUGUUAGAGGGUUUCCGCCCUUUAGUGCUGCAGCUAACGCAUUAAGCACUCCGCCUGGGGAGUACGGUCGCAAGACUGAAACUCAAAGGAAUUGACGGGGGCCCGC